UACGAAGGAUCCAAGCGUUAUCCGGAUUCAUUGGGUUUAAAGGGUGCGUAGGCGGUUUUGUAAGUCAGUGGUGAAAUCCGAUCGCUCAACGAUCGAACUGCCAUUGAUACUGCAGAACUAGAGUACAGAUGACGUUGGCGGAAUGUGUCAUGUAGCGGUGAAAUGCAUAGAUAUGACACAGAACACCGAUUGCGAAGGCAGCUGACGAAACUGCAACUGACGCUGAUGCACGAAAGUGCGGGGAUCAAACAGG
rnacentral:rRNA from 1 species